UACAGAGGUCUCAAGCGUUGUUCGGAUUCAUUGGGCGUAAAGGGUGCGUAGGCGGCGCGGUAAGUCGGGUGUGAAAUCUCGGAGCUUAACUCCGAAACUGCAUUUGAUACUGCGGUGCUUGAGGACUGGAGAGGAGACUGGAAUUUACGGUGUAGCAGUGAAAUGCGUAGAGAUCGUAAGGAAGACCAGUGGCGAAGGCGGGUCUCUGGACAGUUCCUGACACUGAGGCACGAAGGCCAGGGGAGCAAACGGG
rnacentral:rRNA from 1 species